CAAACCGCGCGAAAAUUCAAAUUUUUGCUCUUUUGACAGCGCUGAGAAACCUUCAAAUAGUGACGAGAAGACCAGACGUAUCCCUUCGUGACAAGCUGCCACUUGUUCUUUUCAGCUCGAGCCUUUUUUGGGAGCUACUCUGGUACAUCGUCCACACUGCUGCCAAGUCUCGACUUCCCAAAAUGGAUGGAAGUGACGAAUAUGGAGGACGCUAUCCUAGAACCCGUGGACAGAAGAGGAAGAGCGACGACUUGGGUGCGGCUGCGAAGUCUGCCUGCCCAACGCCAAUUGCUCCUCACCCAAAAACGCACCCCAUUGACGAAGAUCAUCCUUGUAUAGACGAUGAUAAAAUACUCUCAUCUGACAAGAACACGUCAUCAGAAGUCACUGCCUGCUGCGAAUAACAGCGCAUCGUGUAUGACAAUCUCUUCACCAACAAGUGCUACCCCCUCUUGUCCAUCGUCACAUGAAGAACAUGGACAGCCGCAAGCUGGAAAUGAUUUCUCAACAGCAGAGAAGAACGAUACUAUUACGUUCACACCCUUGACACAGACUUGCGUCAUAGUGACAUUUGCGAAUAGCUGCCCCUGCAGUAUAUUUUGUGUUUCUCUCUGACGACUAUAGCAUCUGGAUUCGGAAUAGCCUUACUAUCUUGAGACGGGUCAGCCAUACCUGAAACAUGUUGUUCAUUGUGACUAAAACUUGAGUCAACAUUAUCUAUUCCCCUAGAAACGACGUGAAUAACUAAAUGUAAUACAAAUUAAAUUAGGAAGAAAAUUUCACUCUUACAAGCC